CAGAUGGAGAAACAGAAACAGAGAUCAAAUGAUUUUUGCAAGGCCACACAGGAAGCCCCCUAAAGAAUGUUCUGGAGGAGCCACUGGCUGAAAGGGUGUAGCAGCAUAGCUCCUGAGGAUAACCCAGGACAGCCUGUUCUCUGAUGUGCCUGCACUCUCUCCAGACUAAGAAAAGACUAGUUCUACAUCAUAUAGCCAUGGUGGACCAAACAUCAGUAUCCUAGAAGCAAUACGUCUCCCCAGUUUAUAAUUUUGCC